CCACAUUCAAAAUUCAAAAAUCAAUAAACAUGUAUAUAAACCUCAAUAGUCGCAGCGGAAUAUAAACCAGAGUAAAUCCAAGUAUACAUGUUAUGAAUCAAUAAAUUACAUCAACAUAGAUACAUCUCAAAAAUCCCAACAAACGGGUAAUCUCCAAACAUCACAAAAUCCAAAGUAAAAGAUAAUCUAGACUGACACAACAAAGCCUAGAUCAGAGCCGACUAAACAUCUAAACACCGAUAUCGGAGAAAGCUCCAGAUAUCCACCAAGCACAAGAACUCACCAAGCAACUAAACCUGCACAACGUCUACCCAUCCAUACAGAUAGGCAGGCGGUCCAUAACAGAUCCACUGGGGGUAAGUAUUACAUUAUCAUAAUCCAAAUAACAGUUAACAUGGAUAUUUCAAUUUAAACAUCAUGCACUUGAUCAAUAAUAAUUACACAUUAAUACUUACAUCACACCCCGAUAUCUCACAUAAAUAUUCAUCAAUCAUAUGAACGAUUAUCAAUUUACAAUUAUUCAUUCACAAUCACCAAUCACAUUUAUCAUGAAUAAUCAUUAAUCACAUUUCAUGAACAAUCACCAAUUACUUGUAUCAUGAAUAAUCACUAAUCACAUUUCAUGAAAAAUCACCAAUUACAUGUAUCAUGACUAAUAAUUAAUUCACAGUUAUUCAUACACAAUCACCAAUCAUAUACAUAUCAUGAACAAUCACCGAUCAUAUACAUCAUGAACAAUCACCAAUCAUAAGCCAUGAACAAUCAUUAAUCAUAUUUCAUGAACAAUCACCAUUCACAUGUAUCAGGAACAAAUAUCAAUUCACAAAUAUUCAUUCACAAUCAUCAAUCACAAACAUCAUCAAUAAUCAUUCAUCUCAUUUCAUCACCAAUCACAUAUUUCACAUAGGACUCAUGCUAUGAUAUGCACUUAUUGACACAUAAAUGCAUGUGGUACCAAAUCUCAACAAGGUCGUCACCUUUCGAUGCCACUUGCACAUCGAAUGUAAGGGCUCACACCUGCCUUACAAUAAUCUCGAAGUAAAAGAGUCAUCCCUUUUACAGCAACAACGACUAUGAUGCAUGGACAUGUAUAAGGACUCAAUAAUGCGACAACAAUUCACAAUCUCAACUCAAUAUAUAGGACAACACCCAAUUAUAUUGAUUAUCUCCACAACAUUGCAUUAUCAAGAAAACAUGCUCAUACACAAUUAAAUCAUAGUAUUCACCAUCACACUUCAACAUGAUUAUCAAUAAUCAACAAUGUCAUUCAACAUCAACUAUAUCAUAUAGUUUCACCAUUUCAAGCAUUUCUCAUAUUCCAAGUAAGAGAACAUACAACAUCUCAUGACAAACAUCAUAUCCAACAUAUAAUCAUUCAACAUCAACUAUCACAUAUAGCUCACCAAUUCAAGCAUUCUCAUAUUCCAAGUAAGAUAGCAUAUACAUCUCAUGAUAAACAUCAUAUUCAAUACAAUCAUUCAUUCAUACAACUUCACUUAGUCAUACAAGAAUAAUCUCAAUAACUCACAAGACAAUUUGCUAAAGAAACAUUUCCGACAAAAUCCAAAUCAUGUGGCAAACGGCCAACAUUGAUAAUUUUCAAAGUUAGGCAACUUAUUCAAAUUUGAAAUCCUAAAAUUCAAUCUUAAUCAAUCAUGUAGCCAAGGACUUAAGCCACUUACAAACUAUUAGAAAUUAGUUCAAAGGAUAGCUCAAGUUCGUAUGAGAAAAACCAAGACAAAACGACAUUUAGCUCAAAACUCGUUUUCACCGAUUCUACUCCGCCCAAAAUAUUUUCUUAAAACAUCAACACAUUCACAUUCCCAAAUACAUAAAUGCAUACUCAAUUAUUCACUCUAAGUACUUCAUUAAACCCAAUAUCAAGUUUGGAAAAGUUCCACGGCUCAAAGAAAAAGUUAUGAUAAGUUUUCACAAAAAUCCACAUGACCCAUGUGUAGUAAUUUAAUCAUAUCUCAAGUUCUAAAAAUCAUUUGGACGUCAAACCAAAGCCAUUAGAAAGCUAACUUAAUUAUCUACAACUUUCAUGUUUACACGAAAAACCAAUUCAACACGGAAACAGGUGAAAAAUGUGAAUGUUUUCCAGAUUUGCUUGACAGAAAAUCGGUGGCCGAUUUUGACAAAUCGGUGGCCGAUUUUCGUCGAACCAAAACUGGAAAAUAAGCUCAGAAAUCGGUGGCCGAUUUUGGCAAAUCGGUGGCCGAUUUUGGGCUUCACAAUAGUUCAAAAAUCCGCUUAACAAUGCGUUUUUCACUCAAAAAAAUCACUCUUAAAUCACUAGAUUCAAAUACAAGACUCCCAAAUUAAAUCAAACAUUACCCAUAAUCAUAACACUCGUAAAUAACACUUAUACCACUUCAAAUCAUCAAGUUCACAUCCAAAAUCAUAAUCAACCCAUUUUCACCAAGACACCAACAACAAUCCAUUUCUCAACAACAAAUCAUGAAUCAUGCAAACCCAAGCCAUAUAUCAUCAUCAACAAUAUGACUAAACAAACAACAACAACCAUUGAUCAUGAAACAUAUCACAAUUCAUCAACAACCAUGCAUAAUUCACCAAUUGAGCAUAAUUUACAAACUACCCAUUUUCAUACAUCAUGAACUUGCAAUUUCAUCAUCAACAAUUCAUUUAACAUCAAAUUAACAUAUUCAAACAUAUCUCUACAACAUAAGCACGAAUUUCAAAGAUUGGGUUCAUGAUAAUCACUUAUUCUCAUAAUCAAUUAUGCAUAGAACAAGAGAAAAAGAAUUAACUAAAUGAUUAUGAUAAAAACUAACCCCCUUACCUUUGAAGAAGAUUAACCCUAACCUCUGCUUCAAUUCAGCUCCUAGGUCACCCCACUUGAUUCCUCAAGCUUUCCCUUCAACACUCUUGUUCUUC
rnacentral:lncRNA from 1 species